rnacentral:rRNA from 1 species
GCGCGGGGACGGAGGGCGCCCCCCUUUUCGUCUCAACAGCAUUCAAGCCAUGGGCGCAUGUCUAACAGUAGCACUGGCCGAAAUAACGGCGAAACCGGCGAUGGCUCAUUAAAUCAGCUUUAUGACUGUCUUGAUGGUGCUCCUUUAACGGAUCGUUUCUUGCCUAACUCUGGAUACACGUGUGCGCAAUUCUACAGGAGCCUACAUAGCAUGCAGUGAGCCGGCUGCGACGCCCUUUGGGUCCAGACGGGUGCUCUUUAUUAGACCGUAAGAUCGAUCCGGGUUUUCGGCCCGGGAUUAGUGUGGGUGACCCUGCUGGAUACCGAGCUUUGUGCUGAUCGCAUGGCCACGAGCCGGCGACGUUUCUUUCAAGUGUCUGCCUUAUCAACUUUCGAUGGUAGGUUACUUGCUUACCAUGGUUGUCUCAGCCGGGUAACGCGAGAAUCAGGGUUCGAUUCCGGAGAGGGAGCCUGAGAGCAACGGCUACCACAUCCAAAGGGAAGCGGCAGCAGGCGGCGCGAAAUUACCCACUUCCGCGGCAGCCGGCGGGAAGGUAGGUGACCCGAAAAAAUAACCAACAGCGGCGAGCUCUAUUGAGGCCCGCGUAAAUUGAAAUGAGUACACUCUAAAUCGCUUUAACGAGGAUCAAUUGGAGGGCCAAGUCUGGUGCGCCAGCAGCCGCGGUAAUUCCACCAGUCCAAUAGCGUAUACUAAAGCUGCUGCGGUUAAAAAGCUCGUAGUUGGAUCUCAGUUCCAGACGAGUAGUGCAUCUACCCGAUGCGACGGCUCGGACUGAACAUCAUGCCGGUUCUUUCUUGGUGCACUUCAUUGUGUGCCUCGAGAUGGCCGGUGCUUUUACUUUGAAAAAAUUAGAGAGUGCCGCUCAACCGCAGCGAGUCGCCUGCAAAUCAAGACUUGGCACUGGCAAAAUACAUAGAACAAGACCUCGUUUCUGUUCUGUUGGUUUUUGGAAUACGAGGUAAUGAUUAAGAGGGACGGACGGGGGCAUUCGUAUUGCGGCGCUAGAGGUGAAAUUCUUGGACCGUCGCAAGACGAACUACUGCGAAAGCAUUUGCCAAGAAUGUUUUCAUUGAUCAAGAACGAAAGUCAGAGGUUCGAAGGCGAUCAGAUACCGCCCUAGUUCUGACCAUAAACGAUGCCAACCAGCGAUCCGCCUGAGUUACUCAAAUGACUCGGCGGGCAGCUUCCGGGAAACCAAAGUAUUUGGGUUCCGGGGGAAGUAUGGUUGCAAAGCUGAAACUUAAAGGAAUUGACGGAAGGGCACCACCAGGAGUGGAGCCUGCGGCUUAAUUUGACUCAACACGGGAAAACUUACCCGGCCCGGACACUGGGAGGAUUGACAGAUUGAGAGCUCUUUCUUGAUUCGGUGGAUGGUGGUGCAUGGCCGUUCUUAGUUGGUGGAGCGAUUUGUCUGGUUAAUUCCGAUAACGAACGAGACUCUAGCCUAUUAAAUAGGUGCGGGGUUCCCAGCACCUUACAACCUUCUUAGAGGGACAAGCGGCUCCUAGCCGCACGAAACAGAGCAAUAACAGGUCUGUGAUGCCCUUAGAUGUCCGGGGCCGCACGCGCGCUACACUGAAGGAAGCAGCGUGUCUUUAUCCCUGUCUGAAAAGACUGGGUAACCCGUGGAACUUCUUUCGUGAUUGGGAUAGGGGCUUGCAAUUGUUCCCCUUGAACGAGGAAUUCCCAGUAAGCGCGAGUCAUAAGCUCGCGUUGAUUACGUCCCUGCCCUUUGUACACACCGCCCGUCGCUACUACCGAUUGAAUGAUUUAGUGAGGUCUUCGGACCGAUGUCCGGCGCGGCCUUUCGGUUGCGCCGGUCUGUGGAAACGAUGACCAAACUUGAUCAUUUAGAGGAAGUAAAAGUCGUAACAAGGUUUCCGUAGGUGAACCUGCGGAAG